UUAAUAUAUGUAAACACUUAGGGCAAGGAGUCACAGAGCAUCCUGUGAGGACCUGCCGACAGUUACAUGACCACAGUUACUCCAGCAGAGGCUACUCUAGGGCAGUGGUUUCAUAGUGUGGUCUCCAAGCCAGAAGCAUCCCACCCCUAAGCUGCAGAAUCAGAGUAUCUGGGGAAACUGUUUUAACAAGCCGAUUCUUAUAGUUAUGAGAAUGCUCGCCUUAGGGAAAGAGGCUGAAACCCAAAGACCAUGCAGGAUGAACUCCAUCCAACAGAGACACCCUCCCUGGUUCCAAGACAACAGAAGCCCCCUUGGAACUUAGAGCACACACCCACCCAUGCACACACCUUAAACUAACUAUCUAAGAGAGCCUGCCUUUAAACCAGAUGUAAGUAUCUUUAAAUUGAGAUGGCUACACCUUUCACCAUCAGAGAAGAUGAUGAACUGAGUUCAGUUUGGUGAAAUAAGGACAGUUCCAUUUUUCACCCCCAUGUUUGUGACUGUUUGUGACUGUGUAAAUAUCAUUCCCAUUACACCUGCCGUGAUGGUCCCCGUCCCACCACAGGAGCUGGUCCUCGUGUCCACUGAGGGGAAUCUGCAGCCUCUUUUCCAAACCCUGAGCUCCCUAUAGCAGCCCAACCACUUUCACUUUUCUCUUGAGAAGCUCAGGAGCUCCGCAUCAGUAGUUAGAGUUGUUAUUAUGAAGUAAUAAAAUACGUGCACCACCAAAGGCAGUGGGUGAAAUUGCAUGGAGGGAUUUGAGCUAGCACACUUGGGAAGUCCAGAUAACGAGUGUAAGUGCUGAAGGGUACAGACCCUCCUCUGUUUAGUGGUAGCAACAGACACCUGGGGGCUGGGAGGGGUUACUGCGGGGUCUGGCCUCCCAGAGGAUCAUCCAGGACAGUGUGGUCUGGGGGUGGGGAGAUUCCCUAGAGCCCACCCAGCCCCUUCCUCUCCCCAGGGCCCGCUCAUACCACUUGAGUCAUCUUGAGGCACAGUUUCUUGUGUGCCGCUGUCAGCAUGGCCAGGGCCCCCGCAGCUGCAUUCUGCACCUUGUCAUCAUCCUCCCCGCACAGCAGCACCACCAGCUUCAGCCGGUCAUUCCCGUCGGCCAGGAACCGCUCCUGCACCUGUGGGAGACAGAUAAAGAAAUCGUGGAUUGGGGAGAUUAAGUAAUUUGUCCAUGGUUACACAGCCAAAAAACAGCAAGAGCAAGAUCUCAGCUGCAAGUCUUCCAUAUCUACCUUGGCUCCAUGCUUCCUUCCAACAGCAAGGAGGAUAAAAGGGAUCCCGAGUACACACCAUGACACAGCAUCAAGUCAGGCAGAAAUUGGUUUGGGGCUAUGAGCGCAGGCAGCACAGACAGACAACUGCGUGCUGAAUUCCAGCAGGCUGGGUUGGGGCAGGGGGUACAUUAUUCUUGGGCCCAGCGCACGCUUACACACACGGUGUGCUUCUCCCCCGUAGGGCACCUUCUAGGAAGGCAAGGACCUUGUCCUGCCCAAUUACCUUGCCACCACCUUGAGCCACAAUGGUGCCUCGGUCCUUUGGAUUGUCACACAGUGCCAGGAAGACCCUGUAGGACCACCGAGAAAGGAGAACAUUUACUGCACCGGCACAGCCUUCCGGGACUCAGCAGGCCAGUGAAACCCUGGACAGUGCAACUUGUGCUCCCAGGAUUAGCCACCCUGGGAAGAUACCAUCACAGAUGGCUCUACUGAGGUGUCACAUCCUCCCUGAGGCCUUCCUGGCUGCCUACCCACCUCCCUCCAGUCCGUGCUCCAACCAGCCCUCUGGACUUUCCCCAUCGUGGCACCAUUGCAUUGUACUGCAUCUUACUGCAUUGUACUGAUCUUGCUGCCACCCCCACUAGGCUGCACAGCGACUAUGCUUUUAAUCUCUGGGAACAAGGCCAUCGUGGAGAUGACACCCGCCUUCAGAAGCCGCUUCACCCGCAUGUCUACAAAAUCCUUCUUGUCCUGGGGAGAUGAAAGAGUGGCAAUGAGGAAGGGGACUGCACACCAGGCCAAUUUGUAUUGGAACCAAAGAUAGUGCAUAUCUGAAUUCUCAAGGUCACUAGGUUUGCGGCAGUGUGUUAUAGAAGCAAUAGGAAACGAAUACACUUCUCCAGAUCCCUUCUCCAGACAACCACCAAGGUGUAUAUGGUAUGUCUGCUGCUGUGCUUUUCUUCUCCUUGUCCUUGCUCUCCCUGCUCCCAGUACCCAAUACAGAGCCUGCAGAGUUGAUACUGUAAGAAAAUCAAUCCCAGAGACCCUCUCAUUCACAGAGGAGUGACAUAAAAGAAAGAUAAUCUAAAACAUUAGA